UUUUGUUAUAUAGAAUUUAAUAUAUAUAUAUAUAUAUUAAAUAAAAAGAUAUUAUAAGAUUAGUUUUUGUUGGGAUAUUAUAAAAUACACACAUUUAAUACUUUUUAAGAGAUGAUCCAAUUUAAAAAUUUACACAUUAAAAAAAUCUUGUGUUUCUUUUGUAGUGAGAAUGGCAACCACAUGAAUGUUGGGAAAGGAUGUUGAAAAAAUCUUAUCACUCAAAAUAACUUUUUUUUUGAACUUAAUUUCAUAUUUAAAUUGCAUGAGAAAGAAAAAUACACAGCCCAAAAGCACAGUUUUAGAGCAUAGCCCAGUUAUUUGUUCAUAUCACAGAUCCUAAAUCCCAUCUAGAGAAAGGCCCAAAGCCCAGGAUGAAGAAAUACAGUGAAUUGAGAGGAAAACGGAAAGUUCUUCUGUUGAAGCGACGGUGAUUACGAAGACGGUCGAUAGAACCUUAAACAAGCCAUUGCUGCAUCAUCCUUGAAGAAGAGGAGCGAGGGUUCCUCUCUCUGUAACUCAGAAUACGGUCCCUUAUCUGGCGAUCAAUCAGCCUUAAUAACCCAUCAGUCGAGCGGAAAGUAUUGCGAUGAAGUCUGCUGUUGCGCUCUUGCCAAGUCCAGUAAAUACAGCUUUGCCAGGAAUCAGAUCACAUCGGCGACCUAAGCGAGACCACAAGUUCCAUGAAUAAGGACAUAAGAAGAAAAGGUGAUCUCGGGACUCUGCAGCGGAGUUACAGAGCAAACAAGAAGGUGCCGUUUGUAAUCCCCAUCUUAAUAACCUAUCUCGCGUUGGACAUCGGUCGACGAUGAAGAGCCAGCAGAGAAAACGAAUGCUUCGCUAUGCCACUUGCAAUCCACACAAUGUUUUCCCAGGGUAGUGAGAAACACAUGGAGCUGCAGCUGUUUAUCAGAGCGAGGGUUAGGUAGUAAGCAGUGCUUGUCCCUGUAGAGUGAGGAUACCGUUGCAUCAUCUUGAAUUCCAAGUGAGAAGUUAGAAUCAUUCUCUAGAAAGCUUUGCAGGCAUCCAAAGGGUGACCAAUUGUCUGUCCAAAACCUCGUUGAGGUACCACUCCUGAUCCGCAACUUGAUCCAAUGAAAAAUUUCACCUCUCAGUUUGAGUAACUUAUUCACUAAUCACUCAAAAUAACUUCUAAGGAAAAAUAUGAUCUACUGAGUUAAGUCUAGGUACUGGUUAAGCAUUCAUUUACCAAGGAAUAAAGAUAUCCAACCUGUUUAUGGCAACACAAAAGUCAACAUUUACAAACCAAGGUGGCAUAAACCACCUGAGCAAUGGUUAGAAUGCAAUGUGGAGGGGUCAUUCACGGAUGUGAGAAAACGAAGUCGAGGAGAAUGGGUAAUGCGAGACUGCAGAGGUACGUAUAUAAAAGCAGGUCAAGGCCAAGGACGAAAGAUUAAUAGUGCUUUAAAGAGUGAGUUACAAGUUCUACUAAUGGCGUUGCAACAUUGUUGGAGUGGAGGCUGCAAGAAAGUAAUAUUUGAAGGAGAUAGUAAGAAAGCUAUCCGCAUUAUUUACAACCAAUCCUUACAUUUCGAUGCAUACAAUUGGAUCAGAGAGAUCAACUGGUGGAGACAAAAUUUUAGAGAGUUUGAUUUACUUAGAUGGGACGUGAAGGUGGCGGACGCAAUGUUCAUAAUCAAGACCCUUUUGUAUUUCAUUUCUAUAUACCAAGGUGUAUAACUAAUUUUCUCCAUCAUGACAAUCUAUAUUCACAAAAUUGAUUAAUAUGAAAUGAAGUUAUAAGAAA